UGCCAGGUGGUUUUCUUAAUUAGUUAAUUGGUUGCAUCUGGUGCGUUUCACUUAAAAGGGAACCGGACAGUACAUUUGUUUGUGUACUGUUUUGGUGAAGUCUGUUGUGACUUAUUUAACAGCUCUUCCAAUUUCACAGGCUAAAGACUUUUUGAAGUAAAGAGGAGCAUCUCAUCUGAACCUGAUGUCUAUCACGGAUAUUUAACUGCAUUUCUGUGAGUAUCCCAACUUAACCAUGAAGCAUAUCUGCAAACUAAGUCAUUAAUUCUCAUUACUCUUGGGCACACUGAUGUAUUUUGGCUUCCUGGUGAGUUAACCUGUUACCUGAAGGUUGAUCUGAGUAUGUUUUAUUGGUUCAUGGGUUACUUAGUUGUUUGGUUUAUGUUGGUAUUAAUGAUUUGUUAAAAUGGUUACAGGCUCCAAGUUAGAGUAUUGGGUUGGGUUCUGAUAUCUUCAGUCUUCUUUCAGUCUACUCUCCUGAGCUCUGCAUCUUCAUCACAUGAGUGUUGCUUUACUGUUGAGCGUGUGGUCUGAGUGAGCAGAGGUGCAUACUGGGAUACAGAGCUGUCUCGAGUCUACAGGUCUGUAGACACGCCCCCGGCCUCAGGGGAAACCGAGUGUUUGAGAAACUGUCGUGACGUCAGUUACAUGGACUGGAAUGUUCUUUAAAGAUGGAGACAGGGAUUCAGAAGGAGAAACACCAGGGGGAGAUGAGGGGGCUCCUCAUCUCAACGACUAAAAAUUUAACUUCAGUCUGACACAGAGAACCAUGGAACACAUUCAACAGUCCCCUCCAGGCAUCGUGACUCCUCAGGAACAGUUUCAUUUCCAAGAAGGUCUUAUUUGGGGCCAUCCCCAUAUAGAUCAUGCUCCUCAAGAGCCACCCCCCCUCCACUGGGUGGUCUUCUGAACAGAUGACCUCCUUCCUGUCCUCAGGCUGACUAAAGCUGCACCGUUUGCAUCUGUGAAGGCCCCUCAUUCAGGAUACCACUGGACUACAAAGACAUGACUUCAGAGAUGUUGAUUCAACCUGGGACACAUUUUGGAGAUGCCAAGCAUAAUCCAUCACCAAUGUGGGACGCCACUGAAGAAUGUUGUACGUAAUUUACGUCUCUGGAGACAUUGGUUGUUCUGUUAUGGGUGCCCUGGCAGGAGAGCUGGGGGGGGGGGGGGGGGUUAUUUGCUAUGAGGUUUUUACCCUGCAUGAUUGUUUGGCCUUUUAUGGCUCAGUGGUGUGUGUUUGGGUUUGACAUGAGAUGGAAGAUUUUUGAGCAUCGCUAGGGUUCGUGUGUGUGUGUGUGUGUCACACCUGGCAUGGGGUUCUACGUGCCUGUCCUGGGUUCUAUGUGUGUGUGUGUGUCCGGCUUGCUUUGACAGUGAUAAUGUUCAUACGGGGGUCAGUGUGAUUGGCUUGGGAUAUUGGAAUGGUCAACUAAAUCAUACCUGAUGGACGGCCACACGUUUACUUAAGGGCCUCUAGUAGACAUGAAGAGCCCUGAGCGACGCUCUGGAGCGUGAUCCAACACACUGGGCAGGAAGGAGAGUAUCCAACUCAAGUGUAAAAGGAUGCAAGCGGCGUGUUCAGAUCAGUGACUUCAAACGAGGACUACACCAAUCAGGAUCAAUGGAGGAUGGACACCAAAAGGAAUUUCACAAGGAGAGUCUGACGUUGGAAAGGGACCUAAAUGGAUAUUCAAGAUGACCUGUAAUGAGACGGCUCUUCCUACCUGGCUGGAUUGAUGGAGAGCCCUGUGGAUCUUGUCUUGCUCUCAGUUGCAUGUCUUCUCAGGCUGAACUGUAUUUGUUUCGGACAGGACUAGCUGAACGAUUGGUUCCCUUAAAUCAGAACCAAUCCGGGAACUCCAGCUAGUGCGCUCUUCGAGCUGAAGUUGUGCUCUUCAGCUGAGGUGGUAAGGAAACCUUCACUGGGGCUUCAAGGUGUAAAGAGGAUAAUGUUUCAAAGUGUUCCAUGAUACUCUGAUGAAGACCGUUGUUGUGUUCCACUGGCUGCGAGGAAGAACCCACACAUCUUCCUCUUGGCCUUUCUCCUCUGAGAAUCCUGGCGCCAUCUUGAAGGAUAUUCCAGCUCAUGUAAUUGAUGUCACGACAGAUUCUCAAACACUUGGUUUCUCCUGAGGGGCGUGUCUAUGGAACUGAAGACUUCAGACAGCACUGUCUCCCAGCAUGCAUCUCUGCUCACUCAGACCACACCCCCAUGAGUAGGAUGCAACACUCUAGUGAUGGAGAUGUAGAGUUUUAUAAGUAACGAGGGAGCAGACUAAGGUGAUUAGAAUAGAAUGUCAAGUCUGUAAAUCUUUAAACCAUGUUGGUUGGAUAGUUCAGGAAUUGGGUCAGGGUAACGUUGCAGGGCUAUGGUCGGCUCUCUGUGAGGUCAACGUUUAGAUUUGCUCUGUAUGGUUUGUACCCUGAAUAAUCUAGAUAAUUGUAAAAUGUAGACACAGUUUUGUAUUGAAUGAUUCCAGGAUUUUAGUUUUAAAGUUGUUGUGGGACGUACAUGGUAGUUUGGUUCUUCGUAUGGUUUUGAGUGAUAUAACUUGUCCACACUGGGUGCAUAAUAAUGUAAAGGUACACUGAAUAGUAUUAAUGACCAACAGCAACAAACAGAUCUCCUCAAGGUAAGUCUGUUGGCUGUGUUUUAAUGAAGACCAUCGCUGGACUUCAGGAUCUUCCUCCGUUCAGCUCAAGGUGAGGCGCUGGUUCUGUUUUUUCUUUGGUUGGUUCCGGCCGGAAUGUUCGGAUUCCAGUCGGACGGUUUGUGCUUCCCGCCGUGGAAGGUUCUGAGUGCGGUCACUUGAUUUAGUCCCAAUGGUUGGCAUAGAACGUUGUAGUCUUGACAACCAUAAGAAACCACCUGGCAGUUAGUUGGACGGGAGUCCCCUGAGGGAAUCUGACGGAACGUUCUGGAUUGUAUUUGCGUAACCUCGAGCUGUUGCCAACGGAAACUAUUUUUCAGUCGGUUUCCAUUGGGAAUUGUUGCCUCUAUCUUAAACAACUAAAGUUUGAUAUUAAAUACACACUGACACGUGCGUCGUACAUUAUGUUGAUCAUUUCCGAUGGUUGCGCCGUACUCUUGACCACGAUGACGUUGCGGGACUCUCACUGCGUACAAAACAACUUGCGGGCCCAUUUUUGACAUCAGGGAAGGCUUAAAAUCAUUUCAAGAUGGAAGAUAAUUUGACAUUUCUUCAAAGGAACCCAGCACCUGAAUAUGGCUGAGUAUAUUUGAUUUAAUAUCGAUACUGCUUAGUGUUCUUUGUUACUUCAGCCUUUGUACGUUCUAAAUAUCUGCUGUCAUUAAUUGCCACAGAAGUUAAACCCUACCCAAUGGAAUGACGUUAAACAACGACUUUGGUGCAGAGUUAACAACUGGAUAAUAUAAAAGCUAAAAUAAUGGCCGUCAUUCCCACAUGUUACAGUAGAAGAUACUCUAGAACUGUACAAGGUUAAAAAGGUAACAUGUAGUUUGUCCCAAGGUGUCUGCCUCCUCACCCAGAGCAAGACCUCCACCUCCUCACCCAGAGCCAGACCUCCACCUCCUGUCAGAAGUCCUCCAGAACAGCUGAAAGGCGAGGCUGAGAGGCUGGGGACCGGAGGCUUGUGGUGCCAGGGUGGACCGGAGACUGAGGCUGGAGACCAGGGGCCUGCAGCACCGGACCAGAGGGUAACCAUCACCAAGCUCAUCUGAAACACUAAAAUCCACGACCAGGAAUCCAUGGCUGAAGGAGCUGAUGGAGGAGCCGUGCUGAAGGCCCUGGGCUGGUGGAGGGCCUGCCUGGUGAAUGACAUCUGUCGUGGGACCAGGACUCUGUCUGAGGAGAGCUGCUGGAGGAGCUGAGACGCUGGAGGACGACUAGGAAUCGACUGAUAAAGGAUUCCUCGACGUGUUUCUGGAGCGGAGGCGAGCUGGUAGGGGAGCCGUGAAUCUGGAGGAUGACCAUCACUCUACCAACAAGGAUUACUUUAGGGCCAGACUCGCGCUGUUUGUUCCAGACCAGGACUCUGGCUGAGGAGAGCUGAUGGAGGAGCCAAGACUCUGGAGGACGACAUCACUCCACCAACCAGGAUCCUUACACACCUGAGCUGAACCUCACCUGAUCCUGUUUGGUCGGGGGUAGACACACCUGAGCUAAACCCGCCCUGAUCCUGACAUCCUGCUGGUCCCGUCUCCUCAGUUCAUCUGAGCCUCGUCCUCCAGAAUACCUGCUGAGCUCAGCAGUCUGAGGCUGAUCGAUCAAUGACCUCCAGUGGGAGUGAUCUUCUUGACCCCACAUGUAACCGUGUGCUUCCACACGCCUUUCCCUCACGUCUGUCACUAACCUCACUACUUCACUGCUCUCUACUGCUUCCUCUUUUCUUCCUUCUCUGUGGUUCAAACCUUUACACGGAAGGCGCAUCUUCCUGCCCUCAGAGGGUUUAGUGUUAGGGUUGAGAGUCAGGGCUUAGAGUCAGGGACAGAGCUGGUCAGGGAGGACUGCUUUUACACAAACCUCUUCACUUGCUUUCAGAAUGGUGGUGACAUUUUGAAAAGAUUCAUUUGGGAAAAAAAAUUCCUCUGCUUUCCUUUACAAAAUUGUGUUAAACUUCUGUCAAGUGUUUUUGUUUAUAUAUUAAAAUCUCACAUUGACUUCUACAUGUUUGAGG